UGCUGGGGAAACUCAUCUAUCUGAAGAGACAUCAUUCCAUCUGCUGUUUCAUAACCAGGAAGGCUCUGAGCCUCAGCACAACACAAGCAUGUUCAGGUUUUGAAGGGAAAUGCAGAGAAGAGUAAGGAAGAUGGGCCCAACCUUCUUCCCAGGCUUUCGUGGAAUCAACCCUGGAAUCACUGAGAUGACAGAUGUUGGAGACAGAUGCCCACAUAUCCACUCGGUCUCUGAAAAGCAACUUAUUCUCUGGCGACUUGAGGAAUCAUCUUCACGUCACAAUUCCAUCAACAUCAAAUGCACAAAGCAUUUCAGACGUGAUUUAAGGAGAAGGCGGACCUUCCUUUGGACAUGGCCAAGCAGCCAUACAACAUUACAAUUAAUUCAGCCUGGUGCAAGUGCUUGUCUGCAAGUCGGAAGGGCUGAGUUCAGCUGCAAUUCUGCUACUUGCUACUGAACUUGCUGCUUAGCUUUGGGCAAGUUAUUUUCCCACAACAGACCUAGGGAGUCUGAUCUUUAAACUACAGA